UCUACACCACAAGGACCAGAUUCUCCCUAGAAAAGAGAGCCGUGCUUGUUUGCCGUCAUUCAUCCAGCAGAGGUCUCUCUUGCCCACCAUAUGCUUGUGUGUGUGUAUUCAGUACCAGGGGCGGGACUAUGAGGCUGCAGAAUGAAGAAAUACGGACAAAGACUUCAGGCCUGAGGGACUAAGGAGAGAAGAAUCUGUGGCUUCGGAGACACCAAUUACAAGUUCUG
rnacentral:lncRNA from 1 species